rnacentral:rRNA from 1 species
GGUGGCGAGUGGCGAACGGGUGAGUAAUACAUCGGAAUGUACCUUGUAGUGGGGGAUAGCUCGGCGAAAGCCGGAUUAAUACCGCAUACGCUCUGAGGAGGAAAGCGGGGGACCUUCGGGCCUCGUGCUACAAGAGCAGCCGAUGUCAGAUUAGCUAGUUGGUGGGGUAAAAGCUCACCAAGGCGACGAUCUGUAGCUGGUCUGAGAGGACGACCAGCCACACUGGGACUGAGACACGGCCCAGACUCCUACGGGAGGCAGCAGUGGGGAAUUUUGGACAAUGGGCGAAAGCCUGAUCCAGCAAUGCCGCGUGUGUGAAGAAGGCCUUCGGGUUGUAAAGCACUUUUGUCCGGAAAGAAAUCCCUUGGGUUAAUACCUCGGGGGGAUGACGGUACCGGAAGAAUAAGCACCGGCUAACUACGUGCCAGCAGCCGCGGUAAUACGUAGGGUGCAAGCGUUAAUCGGAAUUACUGGGCGUAAAGCGUGCGCAGGCGGUUUUGUAAGACGGAUGUGAAAUCCCCGGGCUUAACCUGGGAACUGCAUUCGUGACUGCAAGGCUAGAGUAUGGCAGAGGGGGGUAGAAUUCCACGUGUAGCAGUGAAAUGCGUAGAGAUGUGGAGGAAUACCGAUGGCGAACGCAGCCCCCUGGGCCAAUACUGACGCUCAUGCACGAAAGCGUGGGGAGCACACAGGAUUAGAUACCCUGGUAGUCCACGCCCUACACGAUGUCAACUAGUUGUUGGGGAUU